rnacentral:rRNA from 1 species
AUUGAACGCUGGCGGCAUGCCUUACACAUGCAAGUCGAACGGUAACAGGUCAAGCUGACGAGUGGCGAACGGGUGAGUAAUGUAUCGGAACGUGCCCAGUCGUGGGGGAUAACUACUCGAAAGAGUGGCUAAUAACGCAUACGACCUGAGGGUGUAAGCGGGGGACCGGAAGGCCUCGCGCGAUUGGAGCGGCCGAUAUCUGAUUCGCUAGUUGGUGGGGGAAAAGCCCACCAAGGCGACGAUCUGUAGCUGGUCUGAGAGGACGACCAGCCACACUGGGAAUGAGACACGGCCCAGACUCCUACAGGAGGCAGCAGUGGGGAAUUUUGGACAAUGGACGCAAGUCUGAUCCAGCCAUGCCGCGUGCGGGAAGAAGGCCUUCGGGUUGUAAACCGCUUUUGUCAGGGAAGAAACGAGUUUCUCUAAUACAGAGACUUAAUGACGGUACCUGAAGAGUAAGCACCGGCUAACUACGUGCCAGCCGCCGCGGUAAGAC